AGGGGAAGCACCAUCUAGUGGCUGUCAGUAGACCUGCAAUGUAAACAAUGUUUUACAUUGCAGGACCAAAACAAUAGGGCCAUUGCACCCAGGUCUGACCCUUGCAUAGUUUCCAAAGGGGCCAUGGCCCCAGGUGGAACUUUGCCGCCCCUGUCUAAUUCUUGAUCCUGAUAAAAGUCCCAGACGGAGACUGAAACGUUGAAAUAUUUUAACUUUUUUGAAUAAAGUAUGGCAUUUUAGCUUGGAAAAUGACCGUGAGUUCAAG